rnacentral:lncRNA from 1 species
CCUUCUAAAUCAUCUUUUAUUUUAAUACAAAAGAAAAUAGUUGAGCUAAUACUCCAAGAGCCAAUAAUGGUAGAAUGGAUUUUUUUUGCCAAACAAAAAUAAUAUAUGUCCAUCAGCUUUAAGUGCUGUAGCUGACAGGCUGAGAUGUUAUUGCCAACUGCUAUCUGAGAAGAAGUUUCUGGCUGGCUCUGCCGGCCGAGCUGCGGGAGGCCUGCCUUUCCCGAACCUCACAGAGUUUUCCUUGCUGCACCCGGUGGUGUGUUUCAUUCUCGAUAAUGGCAAGACGUGCUUUAAUCUCCCACAUGAACAUGGAAAUAAGUAUCCAUCAACUUUGUGCCCAGUAUGUCUUUCUUUUUCACUGCCCACGUGGCAGUUCUAGAACGGUUCUGGAAUACUAUCUAUGUUCUCAUUCACUGAGGCCAGUUAGAUGUGGGAGCAGGAAGGUGUGCGUGGCAGUCUCAGCUCCUGAAAUGCCGUGUAGCCUGCCAGACGAAGGAGGGGCCGCGCGGUGGGCCUGGCGGAAGGUGAGCACAGAAAGAUGUCAUCAGAAGCCCAGACUCGUUUCAUCUCUCUGCUAUAAUAUGUUCAGUACAUUGGCUUUUAUCCUCAAAUCCCAAGAAGGCUGCUAUGGCUCCAGACAUCACAUUCACCUGCAACAACAUCAAGACAGAAAAAAGUAUGUGUUAAUUAUUACUAUUAUUAUUUGUAAUUAGUGAGAAAAACCUUUCCCAGAAACCCCUCAGCACACUUCUUGUCAGAUGCCCUUGGGUCUUAUACCCAUGCUCUAGCUAUAGGAAGGAUGAGGAUCUAAAUUUUGGUGUUUGGGGCCUCUCUAGGGAGAUGAGCUCUAACAAGGAAAACAGAAGAUUGAAAGGUAACUGGUUAGGCAACAUGGUGACUACUACAUCGGGUUAAUUUUCAUCCUCUGAAACCACCUGCUCAGCCAAAGAAAGGUCUUUAUUGGAUAUAAUAUCAUCUAAUCAGCACUUUUAAGAUAGCUCCUCACCUAGGAGACUUAACUGGCCAGAUGAAGUGGCCUACAUUUAAACCACAAAUUUGAAACAUGCGUUUUUAUUUUUAAGACUCUAUUUUUUUAGAGCAGUUUUAGGCUUACAACAAAAGUGAGAGUGAGGAGGGAUGGGAAGGUUUCUCACUUACCCCCUGCCCCCCACAUGCAUAGCCUCCCCCAUUAUCAGCAUCAUUCACCAGAGUGGUACUUUUUUUUCUUUUUCUUUUUUUUUUUUUUUUUACUAGGGACGAACUUACAUUGACACAUCAUAAUCGCCCAAAGUCCGUAGUUUACCUGAGGGCUCACUCUCGGUGCUGUACAUUCUGUGGGUUUGGACAAGGGUAUAAUGACGUACAUCCAUCAUUCUAAUAUCACGCCAAGUAUUUUCACUGCCCUGAGAAUCCUGCGUGCUGCCUCUUCAUCUCCUCCCAGCCCUGCCUCUGGCAAAUACUGAUCGUUUUAUUGUCUCCAUCAUUUGGCUUUUCCAGAAUAUGCAUUUCUUUUUUUACUUCACUGAAACAGAGACCCAAUUACUUUAAAACAAGAAAGGAUGUAUUUUGUACAAACUAAUUAAAACACAACUUUACUUUUUCAACGUGAGCUUUUUUAUGUUUACAAUCAUUAGGAUAUUUUGUUUUUUAAGACUAAGAAAAUUGAUACUGUGGAAAUGAUUCAAAUUAACUUGUCUGUAUCUAUAAAACUUU